rnacentral:tRNA from 1 species
AGAGCCAUGGUUUGGUGGUAGAGCAUCUGUUUGGCAUGCAGAAGGUCUCAGGUUCAAGCCCUGGCAUCUCUA